UACAGAGGCCUCGAGCGUUAGGCGGAAUCACUGGGCUUAAAGCGUGUGUAGGUGGAUGCCUAAGUACCUUGUGAAAUCCCACGGCUUAACCGUGGAACUGCUGGGUAUACUGGGUGUCUUGAGCCACUCAGGGGCUACCGGAACAAGCGGCGGAGCGGUGAAAUGCGUAGAUAUCGCUUGGAACGCCAAUGGUGAAAACAGGUAGCUGGGGGUGUGCUGACACUGAGACACGAAAGCCAGGGGAGCAAACGGG
rnacentral:rRNA from 1 species